rnacentral:rRNA from 1 species
GCAAGUCGUACGCUUCUUUUUCCACCGGAGCUUGCUCCACCGGAAAAAGAGGAGUGGCGAACGGGUGAGUAACACGUGGGUAACCUGCCCAUCAGAAGGGGAUAACACUUGGAAACAGGUGCUAAUACCGUAUAACAAUCGAAACCGCAUGGUUUUGAUUUGAAAGGCGCUUUCGGGUGUCGCUGAUGGAUGGACCCGCGGUGCAUUAGCUAGUUGGUGAGGUAACGGCUCACCAAGGCCACGAUGCAUAGCCGACCUGAGAGGGUGAUCGGCCACAUUGGGACUGAGACACGGCCCAAACUCCUACGGGAGGCAGCAGUAGGGAAUCUUCGGCAAUGGACGAAAGUCUGACCGAGCAACGCCGCGUGAGUGAAGAAGGUUUUCGGAUCGUAAAACUCUGUUGUUAGAGAAGAAUAAGGAUGAGAGUAACUGUUCAUCCCUUGACGGUAUCUAACCAGAAAGCCACGGCUAACUACGUGCCAGCAGCCGCGGUAAUACGUAGGUGGCAAGCGUUGUCCGGAUUUAUUGGGCGUAAAGCGAGCGCAGGCGGUUUCUUAAGUCUGAUGUGAAAGCCCCCGGCUCAACCGGGGAGGGUCAUUGGAAACUGGGAGACUUGAGUGCAGAAGAGGAGAGUGGAAUUCCAUGUGUAGCGGUGAAAUGCGUAGAUAUAUGGAGGAACACCAGUGGCGAAGGCGGCUCUCUGGUCUGUAACUGACGCUGAGGCUCGAAAGCGUGGGGAGCAAACAGGAUUAGAUACCCUGGUAGUCCACGCCGUAAACGAUGAGUGCUAAGUGUUGGAGGGUUUCCGCCCUUCAGUGCUGCAGCUAACGCAUUAAGCACUCCGCCUGGGGAGUACGACCGCAAG